UACUUAAAAAUCACAUUUAUUGUGUGUACAGACCGGGAUAAAGUCAAGAUCCAGAAUAGCUGAAGCCAAUAUGGAAGGAAUUCACAAAGCCUUGGAAAAUAUGGUUGCUUUAAUGCAACAUCAGAUGGAAAACAACAAUCCACCCAAGCAGUCAGUUACAGGAAAUGGUGGGAGCAAUAUCGAACAAUUUAAGAAAUUAAACCCACCUUCUUUUAAGGGUGCUGUAAACCCACUGGAAGCCGAGGGAUG
rnacentral:lncRNA from 1 species